AUGGGACGGCGGCUGCACGGCGCAGCGCCGUCCGCACAAUCCAAAGGCGCCCCUGCUCCAACCGUGCAGGAACAAGAAUCCAAGCCCCGUCCGCUCCCCGCUCUGCGUCGUCCACUCGCGCGUCGCGUCGCCCUCCCGCCGCCCGCAUCACCUUCACGUGAGCCUUCGCGAUGCUGCCGGCCUGCCGCUAGUAGUAUAAUCCUCUCCUGCUUUCCUCCGCGCGACCGGGGAGCCAGAGAGCGCGAGCUCCAGAAGCAAGCAAGCGCGCAGGAGAUGGCGGGAGACGACGCCCGGACCGGCGAGGUGGCGCCGGCGGAGGAGGAGCCGCACGUGGAGCGGCUUCCGGCCGACAUCCUCGCGCACGUCCUCUCCCUCCUCCCCUCCUUCCACGACCUCUCCAUGGCCGGGGCGGUGAGCCGGCGGUGGCGCCGCGCGGUGGGCCGGUCGCUGGCGACGCGGCGGCGGCUGAGCCUCGCGGGGCAGCGCACCGGCGACGAAUCCACCGCGCGCCUCGUCCGCGCCGCCGUCAACCUCCGCGACCUCGACAUCUGCUGGGGGUGCCACAUCACGGACCAGGGCCUGCUCGACAUCUCCUCGGCGGCGUGCAUCGGCAACCUCACCUCCGUCUCGCUGUGGGGGCUGGCGGGGAUCACUGACAAGGGCGUUGUCCAUCUGGUCUCAAGGGCUCGUUCUUUGCAGCAUCUGAACAUUGGUGGAACAUUCAUCACUGAUGAAUCGCUCUAUGCAGUUGCAGACAGUUGUCCAAAUCUGAAGAGCAUCAUACUGUGGAGCUGCCGCCACGUGACAGAGGCCGGACUAGUAGCACUCGUGAACAAGUGCCCGGAACUGGAGUGCAUCAACGUUGGCGGGAUGCGGGUGUCGCCGGAGAGCUUCGCGGGCCUGAAGUCCAUCAGCCCAGCCCUGCGGAUCAGGUCCAUUCCGCAGAUCCUCAACGCCGACGUGCAGGUCGCUUGA
rnacentral:rRNA from 1 species